rnacentral:rRNA from 1 species
GAGUGACGGCUCGAGCAGGUACGAAAGUAGGUCUUAGUGAUCCGGUGGUUCUGAAUGGAAGGGCCAUCGCUCAACGGAUAAAAGGUACUCCGGGGAUAACAGGCUGAUACCGCCCAAGAGUUCAUAUCGACGGCGGUGUUUGGCACCUCGAUGUCGGCUCAUCACAUCCUGGGGCUGAAGUAGGUCCCAAGGGUACGGCUGUUCGCCGUUUAAAGUGGUACGCGAGCUGGGUUUAGAACGUCGUGAGACAGUUCGGUCCCUAUCUGCCGUGGGCGUUGGAAGAUUGAAAGGGGCUGCUCCUAGUACGAGAGGACCGGAGUGGACGCACCACUGGUGUUCGGGUUGUCAUGCCAAUGGCAUUGCCCGGUAGCUAAGUGCGGAAGAGAUAACCGCUGAAAGCAUCUAAGCGGGAAACUUGCC